UACAGAGGGGGCCAGCGUUAUUCGGAAUUAUUGGGCGUAAAGGGCGCGUAGGCGGCUUUGCGUGUCUUUCGUGAAAUCCCUCGGCUCAACUGAGGACGUGCGGAAGAAACUGCAGGGCUGGAGUCCGGGAGAGGAGGGUGGAAUUCCCAGUGUAGCGGUGAAAUGCGUAGAUAUUGGGAGGAACACCGGUGGCGAAGGCGGCCCUCUGGACCGGUACUGACGCUGAGGAGCGAAAGCGUGGGUAGCAAACAGG
rnacentral:rRNA from 1 species